ACAUCAAUUAACUUGAGUCUCACAACUAACUCAAGCCACAGGUUAGGUGACCAUACUACAACUAAACACACACAACUCUAGUUUGAAUUAACCACAACAGUCUCCUUCACCGUCAAAGACGCAGCCACCGUUAAUCUGCGCCGUCGUCGUCUUUGACCGAAGCAACCCUUUCUUACUCUCAUUACGCAAACAUAUCUUCUUCCUACGCUGAUCUAAACCUGAAACCUUCAUUGGAUCGAACUCUAAAUCUCGCGCGACGUCUUCGGUUUUGGUUCGUGGAGCUCUGUUUCGUGCUUCCACCCUUUUCAUGUUCGGUUCUGCAGUGAAAUUGAGCUGCUGAUUCCGGGCUACAAGUAGUGUCCUCCUUCCCAACUUCAGCGACGUCAAGCUCAGGCUUCAAAAGAGAUGGAUCCAUAAGAGAGAUGAUACGCCCAAAGCAAAAAAUGAACAAGACCUGUGCAUCGACCCAUCACAGAGGAGAUUUUCUUGCAAUAGUAAUAUUAAAUCUAUUUUCAUUCAUGGUCUUCAUGGAGACAUUGUUGGGCCUUUACUCACUGGAAUUGCUGCAUGAACAGAUUUAAUUUGAUCCUUCUUCAUUAUUGGAUCGCUUCCACCGGUGUGCCUUCACACUUCUUCUUGGUUCAAUUUCAGGUAUGAUUAGUCAUUCAAAUGAUUAUGUUCUACUGCACCAUGAAUGAACUUCACUUUUCUUUCUCACAUAGGAAGCUAUGGAUGGUUAUUCUGUGUGAUGCUGAUAUUCCAGUUAUCAUUGUCUCUUAUUGAAGGAAACUGUUCGAAAUCUUGGGUUAUGGGCAUGUUGAAGGGUCAUCUUUUUAAUGUGUUCAAGGAAUUUACUCGAAUUUAUUAUAGUGCAAGCAGGCUGAUUGUUCUUUAAUGUUCACUGCUUUGUUUAGUGACCAGUUAUUGCAUGGUGGAGCUGAUUGUGGUGUGGAGAGUGACAAUAUUGAUUGGACCACGAAAGAUGAACUUCAUAUUGAAAUCUUUCUGUUUUCAUCUUUAUGUUAAAUAAUUUCUAAUGGAGAAACUAUUACUGGGCGUGGAGAGGCAAGCUUUUAGGUAGUAUAGAGAGAUAGGAAAUUGCAGGGCAUGCCAAUAUGAUAUUGAGCAAUACCGCAACAAGAAAAACUGGAAUUACAAUGGUGUUUUUGUAGAUCGAAAACCAACACUGUGGGGUGUUUAUGAAACCACAAUUGCUGAGCAGAUGUAUUAAAUUAUAAACUCAAUUUUGAAUAUCAGUUGUUUUAAGUUAUGUUCAAAUCCAUAGAGUUCGUUUGAAUGCUUUAUCAA